rnacentral:rRNA from 1 species
AGCAGCCGCGGUAAUUCCAGCUCCAAUGGCGUAUAUUAAAGUUGUUGCAGUUAAAAAGCUCGUAGCUGAAUUUCGGGGUUAGUAGGUUGGUCAUGCCUCUGGUAUGUACUGGUCUCACUGAUUCCUCCCUCCUGAUGAACCUUAAUGCCAUUAAUUUGGUGUUUUGGGGAAUUUGGACUGUUACUUUGAAAAAAUUAGAGUGUUUAAAGCAAGCUAACGCUUGAAUACAUUAGCAUGGAAUAAUGAAAUAGGACGUUCGAUCCUAUUUUGUUGGUUUCUAGGAUUGACGUAAUGAUUAAUAGGGAUAGUUGGGGGCAUUAGUAUUCAAUUGUCAGAGGUGAAAUUCUUGGAUUUAUUGAAGACUAACUACUGCGAAAGCAUUUGCCAAGGAUGUUUUCAUUAAUCAAGAACGGAAGUUAGGGGAUCGAAGACGAUCAGAUACCGUCGUAG